CUCUUUUAAGUUUUAAUAUAUCUCUUAGCAAAGUAGACACAAGAAAAAGCAGCAGAGAAACGAUCCAUCACAAGACCAAUUCAAAAUCAGAGGCGGAGGCACGCUAUAGGGUGAGGAGUCACCGGCAUCCGGAAACUUCGGCAAAAACUCCAUAUAUACUUGCAAAUAUCUUCAAAAAAUAAUCGGAUAUUAGCAUAGGUUCCGUACCAAUCUUUAUGAGUGGUAAUAAAUUUAUAUUGAAUGUCAUAGUGCUUUUGCGACCGUCAAAUCCUGGCUCUGCCUCUGCUCUUUUGUAGGUGAUGCCUACAUGAACUCCAUAGAAAUAAUAAAAUGAUACCUUUAUUAAUAAACUCGAACUAUAUAUAGGCUUAUUCUUUUUGUCUUUUUUCUUUUGAGUUAUGAUGACUAUAUCUUGUAUUUUAAUAAAAUAAGCUAAAAUAGUUGUGAAUUAAUGAUCAAUCAUAGUAGGAGUAAAGCUCCAUUUUACCAACUCAUUCAGUGUAAGAAAUUGAAUGAAAAAAUCAGAUUUGAAAACUUUUGUGUUUUCAUUUCUUGCUUUGUACAUGUAUAUAUUAUACACUUCACAUAUAUAUUUAUUUCUCCCACACUAACCCACUAAGUUAUGUCCCCUUAUAUUAUAAUAUACCUGCUAACUCCAUUAAUUAUGUCCCCCCAUGCCCACUAAUUUAUGUUCUCUAACUCAUUAAUUAUGUUCCCCUAAUGCUAAAGACAGAAUAUACUAUGCACGUUGGUUUCUUCUUCACCCUUCUUCUUCUUCACGUUCUUCUCUAUCAAGUUCAGUAAAUCUCCAUGAGUAUUAGAAUUAGGAUAUGGCUUCUUCUUUCCAAUAUCUCCCCUCAAGUUGGAGGGUAACUUUGUGACCCCUAACUUGCUCAAAAUUUCGGAGUGAGAAACCCCAGAAAGUGGCUAUGUGAAGAGAUCUGCCAGUUGGUCUUUAGAUGGAACAAAAGAAAGGGUAAUUAAACCGGAAAGGAGCUGUUGACGCACAAAAUGACAGUCAAUUUCUACAUGUUUUGUGCAUUCAUGGAAGACGGGGUUACAGGCGAUGUGAAUGGCUGCCUUGCUGUCAGAGUGAAGAGAGGUAUUGGAAGACUUAUUGGUGUAGAGAGAUUUUUAAGGAGUCGAACUAACCAUGAAAUAGGGGCUCCUCCUAGUGUGAUGAAGAAUCCACUUACGGACCUCCUAGAAUUCUUGAAAAUGCAAGCAAGGAGAAUAAGUGUUCUGCGGAGAGAAGAAUUCCUUGUCCUAGAUCAUAGCUCAAAUAUUUGAGCACUCGUAAGGCAGCAGAGAAAUGAGACUUACACAGUCUCUUCAUGUAUUGACUGAGGGUAAGGACUACAAAAGAAAAGUCCGGGUGAGUGUUAGUGAGAUAGUUCAACUUGCCAACCAGAUGACGAAAUACUGUUGGAUAUUGCAAAGGGUGUCCAUCAUCAGCUUCAAGCUUGGAGGAAGGAUCAAGUGGAGAACUGACUCAAGGCAGAUGAGAUACAUCAAAUUCCUGCAGCAUAUUUAAGGUAAAUCUUCUUUGGCUUACAAUAAAACCUUCCGUUUCUCGCAGA